ensembl:lncRNA
UUUAAAAAAAAAAAACAACAACAACAACAAUAAUAAUAAUAAUAAUAAUAAUAAUAAUAAUAAUAAUAAAAUAUUUCACUGGACCAUAAAAAUAAUAUUUGUUUAACUUUUAAUAAACUGUUGUUGUAGUUUUACAAUUCAAUCAAUACGACAUGCUUUCUGAUUGCAAGUUCAUUUAAACAUUAAAAUAGAAUCCUGAAAACAGAAAGCAUCUGAAAAAAAAUUCUUAGGGCCCAAUACAUAUGAAGACUUCUAAAUAAUGACAUUGAUAUAUCAACACUUAAAGUAUAUUUGGACUGAGCACGUUCUUUGGAAAUAAUGUACAGCAUGGCCAUAUAAAUAUUUUAUGUUUAAGCGCAUUCUUUCUAUAGAGUUUGUACAUAAAUCUCUGUAAAUGACUGUCAUUUUCCACAUUCCCAGCUGCAGGAUUGUUUAGUCUUGUUGUUGAGUUUCCCUGCUGUGAUAAGGAGCAGGGUAAACACGACCGGUGGGACCCGAUCGGGCUGCACUCACACUGGGCUGACAGCCGGCCGAGAACGCAGGCUGUGGGCCUCUCAACAACCACACGCAGGUCAGGAAACAUCUGGGUGACUGAAAGCAACAGAUGCCGUAGCCCGAUAAGGGAAGCACUCUCCACCCCACUGAACCGGCCUCUCACACGUCCAGUACAAGCAGGACCAGGCCUCCAGCUUAUCGAGAUUUGGGAAAAAGUAACAAGAAAGAGUGGACAGUCUUUGCCUAGUAGCUCUUUACAGCCAAGGUCGUGAUCCCCGGGCCUGUUAAAGACCCCCCUGGGGUUGAGGCUGCAACCGGAUAUUUAAAAUAACAGUGCGAGGGUCCUGCUGGAGCCCUGCGCUGCGUGAGGAGGGAGCAGGAGAGGUUAGGGGUCAAGACACUGGCCAACAUACAUCAGCAAGUGCCAGUGCAGAGCCAAUGACUCUAUCAAUGAAAGACAAAGAGAAGAAAUCCAGAGCAAAUGAGUACAAGAACAAUAAAACAAGCUGUUUAAAACA